GAGGGUAUAGCUCAGCGGUAGAGUGCCUGCUUAGCAUGUGUGAGGUCUUGGGUUCAAUCCCCAGUACCUCCA
rnacentral:tRNA from 1 species